rnacentral:lncRNA from 1 species
AUGAGAGUUCAUUCACACAAUUCAUCACAACCAAAACUCUCUCUCUCUUGCCUCCAUAGCUACGGCCGAACACCCCCCUUGGCACCCACCCAUUUUUGGCUCUUGAUCCAUUCAUUCCAAGGUUACACAAGUCUUUCGGGUCACGCAUAAGGAGUCUUGGAGCUAACGGAAGGCGAAGGACCUCGUUAUCUUGCUUUUAUCCACCACUUCUUCGCAUAGAUUCUUCCCUAGCCCCGAGCUAGAGGUCGUCGCGCAGCUGACCCAUUCGGAGUACUUGGUAGAGACGCACUGACAACUCAUGGACUCAGCCGGUACUGGUGACUCGGACACCACCGGACCCAGACCUAUCGUAUCUGAUGACCUCCCAUCUUCGGAGCAUGAGGUGUAUACAUCUGAUUUUACCAGCACGGACGAUGACGAUUUCCAGCCCUUCGCACUACCCGAGGGUGCUGAUGAGCCUGCAGAUGACCCUCCUACUGAGUACCUACCUCUAGUAGUGAUUCCGGCUCCUAUACCUUUAGCCGUUUAUCCAGCAUAUGACUUACUUCUUGACGCCGAGGCUGACGGCGAUAUCGAUCUGUUUGA